rnacentral:rRNA from 1 species
CCCUUAGAUGUCCUGGGCCGCACGCGCGUUACACUGAUGCAUUCAACGAGCUUAUAACCUUGGCCGAGAGGCCUGGGCAAUCUUGUUAACGUGCAUCGUGAUAGGGAUAGAUUAUUGAAAUUAUUAAUCUUGAACGAGGAAUUCCUAGUAAGUGCAAGUCAACAGCUUGCGUUGAUUACGUCCCUGCCCUUUGUACACACCGCCCGUCGCUACUACUGAUUGGAUGUUUAAGCGAGGUUCUCGAACUGCUAGUGACUGAUCUUCGGUGAGGUCGCAGUGUGGGAAGUGAACCUAGCUUUGGUGUCUAGAGGAAGUAAAAGUCGUAACA